GCCUUGUAGAGCGAGUCGGCGGCGAUCUCCAUGCGGCGCAUGAGGGCCAUGUCGCGGAAGAAUUUCAUGAGCUCGGCGGCGGAGGUCUCGACGGUGCGGGAGGGGACGUCGCAGACGUGGGAGGUGAAGGGGAGGGAGGUCUCGAUGGUGAUCGGGGAGGUGGAGUCGGAGGAGAGGGAGCGGCGGAGGGAGAGGGCGGAGGCGAGGGGUUUGAGGAGGCUGGAUCCGGAGGAGGAGGAGGAGAGGCGGGAGAGAGCCAUGGUGGCGGGAUUGGAUCGGCUCUGGGAGAGAGUGAGAUCCGGUGGAGGAGGGUUUGGUGAAGAAGGAGUGAGGGGGU
rnacentral:lncRNA from 1 species